UGGGCGUAAAGGGUACGUAGGCGGUUAUAUAAGUUGGAUGUGAAAGCCCCGGGCUCAACCUGGGAACUGCAUUCAAAACUGUAUGACUAGAGUGUAUAAGAGGUUAGCGGAAUUCCAGGUGUAGCAGUGAAAUGCGUAGAUAUCUGGAGGAACAUCAGUGGCGAAGGCGGCUAACUGGUAUAACACUGACGCUGAGGUACGAAAGCGUGGGUAGCGAACGGGAUUAGAUACCCCGGUAGUCCACGCCCUAAACGAUGAGAACUAGCUGUUGGUUGAGUAAAUUCAGUCAGUGGCGAAGCAAACGCGUUAAGUUCUCCGCCUGGGGAGUACGACCGCAAGGUUGAAACUCAAAGGAAUUGACGGGGGCCCGCACAAGCGGUGGAGCAUGUGGUUUAAUUCGAUGCAACGCGAAGAACCUUACCAUCCCUUGACAUCCUCAGAAUUUGUCGUAAUGACUUAGUGCCUUCGGGAACUGAGUGACAGGUGCUGCACGGCUGUCGUCAGCUCGUGUCGUGAGAUGUUGGGUUAAGUCCCGCAACGAGCGCAACCCCUAUCCUUAGUUGCCAGCACGUAAUGGUGGGAACUCUAGGGAGACUGCCGGUGAUAAGCCGGAGGAAGGUGGGGACGACGUCAAGUCAUCAUGGCCCUUACGGGAUGGGCUACACACGUGCUACAAUGGUGCAUACAGACGGUU
rnacentral:rRNA from 1 species